rnacentral:rRNA from 1 species
UACGGGGGGGGCAAGCGUUGUUCGGAAUUACUGGGCGUAAAGGGCUCGUAGGUGGCCCCAUAAGUCAGACGUGAAAUCCCUCGGCUCAACCGAGGAACUGCGUCUGAGACUGUGGGGCUUGAAUCCGGGAGAGGGAUGCGGAAUUCCCGGUGUAGUGGUGGAAUGCGUAGAUAUCGGGAGGAACACCAGUGGCGAAGGCGGCUUCCUGGACCGGUUCUGACACUGAGGAGCGAAAGCGUGGGGAGCGAUCCGG